ACUACUAGGACUGCUCAGAGUAAAAAAAGAGCCAACUUAUCCACCCUAGAACACGAUUUUAUGGGAUCACAGUGGAUAGAUCUUCAGUUGAGGGAUUAGGCUGGACACAGUGUAAAGUAGACAGGACAGCAGGGAGGUACAGGUUACAUCCCCGAAGAUCUGGAAAGAGGAGAGG